UGAGACCUCUCUCUACCUGGGGCUUUCUGAAGAUUAAACCAGUUAGAUGUCAGUCAUAGAAGAGAAGAUGUUAACAGAAGGUUGUGUUACAAUUAAGUAGAAAGAGAAGAACUGGACCAAAAAAGAGAAAAGCAGGAGGACUUCCUUGCUGAUUUGCUUCUCUAGUUUCCAAGCCUUCCAGUGGCACUGCACACACAUGUAUGCCAUGGAUUUGAACCUGGAGUUCGAAGCGCUCCCCUCCAGCAGCAGCAGAAGGGCUGCAGACAAUUUCAUGGAGCUGAG